UACGUAGGGGGCAAGCGUUGUCCGGAUUCAUUGGGCGUAAAGAGCGUGUAGGCGGCCAAGCAGGUCCGCUGUGAAAACUCGAGGCUCAACCUCGAGAGGUCGGUGGAAACCGUUUGGCUAGAGUCCGGAAGAGGAGAGUGGAAUUCCCGGUGUAGCGGUGAAAUGCGCAGAUAUCGGGAAGAACACCCGUGGCGAAGGCGGCUCUCUGGGACGGUACUGACGCUGAGACGCGAAAGCGUGGGGAGCGAACAGG
rnacentral:rRNA from 1 species